GGGGAAUUUUCCGCAAUGGGCGAAAGCCUGACGGAGCAAUCUCGCGUGAGGGAUGACUGCCUAUGGGUUGUAAACCUCUUUUUUCAGGGAGGAAUCAAUGACGUGUACCUGAAGAAUAAGCAUCGGCUAACUCCGUGCCAGCAGCCGCGGUAAGACGGAGGAUGCAAGUGUUAUCCGGAAUCACUGGGCGUAAAGCGUCUGUAGGUGGUUUAAUAAGUCAACUGUUAAAUCUUGAAGCUCAACUUCAAAAUCGCAGUCGAAACUGUUAGACUAGAGUAUAGUAGGGGUAAAGGGAAUUUCCAGUGGAGCGGUGAAAUGCGUAGAGAUUGGAAAGAACACCGAUGGCGAAGGCACUUUACUGGGCUAUUACUGACACUCAGAGACGAAAGCUAGGGUAGCAAAUGGGAUUAGAUACCCCAGUAGUC
rnacentral:rRNA from 1 species